rnacentral:rRNA from 1 species
GGGCCCGCACAAGCGGCGGAGCAUGUUGCUUAAUUCGAGGCAACGCGAAGAACCUUACCUGGGUUGAACUACGUGGGAAAAGCCGCAGAGAUGCGGUGUCCUUCGGGGUCCACGAUAGGUGGUGCAUGGCUGUCGUCAGCUCGUGUCGUGAGAUGUUGGGUUAAGUCCCGCAACGAGCGCAACCCUUGUCCUAUGUUGCCAGCGGGUAAAGCCGGGGACUCGUAGGAGACUGCCGGGGUCAACUCGGAGGAAGGUGGGGACGACGUCAAGUCAUCAUGCCCCUUAUGUCCAGGGCUGCAAACAUGCUACAAUGGCCGGUACAAAGGGCAGCUAAACCGCGAGGUCAAGCGAAUCCCAAAAAGCCGGUCUCAGUUCGGAUUGAAGUCUGCAACUCGACUUCAUGAAGCUGGAGUCGCUAGUAAUCCCGGAUCAGCAACGCCGGGGUGAAUACGUUCCCGGGCCUU